CCUACGGGAGGCAGCAGUGGGGAAUAUUGGACAAUGGGCGAAAGCCUGAUCCAGCCAUGCCGCGUGUGUGAAGAAGGCCAUCGGGUUGUAAAGCACUUUCAGUGGGGAAGAAAGCCUUGGGGCUAAUACCCUCGAGGAAGGACAUCACCCACAGAAGAAGCACCGGCUAACUCCGUGCCAGCAGCCGCGGUAAUACGGAGGGUGCGAGCGUUAAUCGGAAUUACUGGGCGUAAAGCGCGCGUAGGCGGUCUGAUAAGCCGGUUGUGAAAGCCCCGGGCUCAACCUGGGAACGGCAUCCGGAACUGUCAGGCUAGAGUGCAGGAGAGGAAGGUAGAAUUCCCGGUGUAGCGGUGAAAUGCGUAGAGAUCGGGAGGAAUACCAGUGGCGAAGGCGGCCUUCUGGACUGACACUGACGCUGAGGUGCGAAAGCGUGGGUAGCAAACAGGAUUAGAUACCCGGGUAGUC
rnacentral:rRNA from 1 species